UUCGAGCCUGCCUUCGACAAGGAGGGUUAAGUCGUAACAAGGUAUCUGUAGGGGAACCUGCAGAUGGAUCACCUCCUAAGAAA
rnacentral:rRNA from 1 species